rnacentral:rRNA from 1 species
UGAGGAAUAUUGCACAAUGGGCGCAAGCCUGAUGCAGCGACGCCGCGUGUGGGAUGAAGGGGCUACGCCUCGUAAACCACUGUAGCCCGGGACGAAAAACGCCUUAGAGGCGUUAGACGGUACCGGGAAAGUAAGGGUCGGCUAACUACGUGCCAGCAGCCGCGGUAAUACGUAGGACCCAAGCGUUGUCCGGAUUUACUGGGUGUAAAGGGUGCGUAGGUGGGCAGAUAAGUCAGUGGUGAAAUCUUCCGGCUUAACCGGGAAACUGCCGUCGAUACUAUUUGUCUUGAAUAUUGCGGAGGUAAGCGGAAUAUGUCAUGUAGCGGUGAAAUGCUUAGAUAUGACAUAGAACACCAAUUGCGAAGGCAGCUUACUACACAAUCAUUGACACUGAGGCACGAAAGCGUGGGUAGCGAACA